rnacentral:rRNA from 1 species
UACGAAGGGGGCUAGCGUUGCUCGGAAUCACUGGGCGUAAAGCGCACGUAGGCGGAUUGCUAAGUCAGGGGUGAAAUCCUGGAGCUCAACUCCAGAACUGCCUUUGAUACUGGCGAUCUCGAGUCCGGAAGAGGUGAGUGGAACUCCGAGUGUAGAGGUGAAAUUCGUAGAUAUUCGGAAGAACACCAGUGGCGAAGGCGGCUCACUGGUCCGGUACUGACGCUGAGGUGCGAAAGCGUGGGGAGCAAACAGG